UGGCGGCACGCCUAACACAUGCAAGUCGAACGGACUUAAACGGAGCUUGCUCUGAUUAAGUUAGUGGCGGACGGUGAGUAACACGUGAGCAACCUGCCUCUGAGAGUGGAAUAACGUACUGAAAAGGACGCUAAUACCGCAUAACAUAUAUUUGCCGCAUGACAGAUAUAUCAAAGAUUUAUCGCUCAGAGAUGGGCUCGCGUCUGAUUAGAUAGUUGGUGAGGUAACGGCUCACCAAGUCGACGAUCAGUAGCCGGACUGAGAGGUUGAACGGCCACAUUGGGACUGAGACACGGCCCAGACUCCUACGGGAGGCAGCAGUGGGGAAUAUUGCACAAUGGGCGCAAGCCUGAUGCAGCGAUGCCGCGUGAGGGAAGAAGGUUUUAGGAUUGUAAACCUCUGUCUUCAGGGACGAUAAUGACGGUACCUGACUAAGAAGCACCGGCUAAAUACGUG
rnacentral:rRNA from 1 species